UAGGAGAGGCUUUAUGGACAGCACUGAAGGGUGCAGGACCUAGCUCCUGGGGAGGAAAGGACGCUUGCUGAGCCUGCCGUGGGUAGCAGAGCUGGGAGGAGAUGGCACUGAAAGAGCAGCCUCUGGAAUAACCAUGAGGGCCACAUGCUUCAUAUCGAGCCUGCUUUCCAUCCACAGCUACCUUGCAUUCAGGAGUUGAUGCUUCAUGAAAAGCAAACCAUUGCUGAGAAACUCAUGACAACAUUUUGAGACUGCAACCCAACU